rnacentral:rRNA from 1 species
UCGUCAUCGUAGGGUUAGUCGGGUCCUAAGACGAGUCCGAAAGGGGUAGUCGAUGGCAAAUGGGUUAAUAUUCCCAUACCAACAUAAGUGCGCGAUGGGGGGACGCAUAGGGCUAAAUGGCGUUAGCUGAUGGAAUAGCUAAUUUAAGAGCGUAGAUUGGAGGAUUGGCAAAUCCGCCUCUGUAUUCGAAACUCAAAUAGCUUAUUGCGAUCUUCGGAUCAAGAUGAGUGCCAUUGAUGCCGUCGUGCCAAGAAAAGCCUCUAAGUUUAGCUUAUGUUGCCCGUACCGCAAACCGACACAGGUAGAUGAGAUGAGUAUUCUAAGGCGCGUGAAAGAACUCUGGUUAAGGAACUCUGCAAACUAGCACCGUAAGUUCGCGAUAAGGUGUGCCUAAGCAAUUAGGUCUCAGCAAAGAGUCCCUCCCGACUGUUUAC